rnacentral:rRNA from 1 species
CUACGGGCCGCUCCAGUGGGGAAUAUUGGACAAUGGGCGCAAGCCUGAUCCAGCCAUGCCGCGUGAGUGAAGAAGGCCUUAGGGUCGUAAAGCUCUUUCGCCAGAGAUGAUAAUGACAGUAUCUGGUAAAGAAACCCCGGCUAACUCCGUGCCAGCAGCCGCGGUAAUACGGAGGGGGUUGAGCGUUGUUCGGAAUUACUGGGCGUAAAGCGCGCGUAGGCGGAUUAGUCAGUCAGAGGUGAAAUCCCAGGGCUCAACCCUGGAACUGCCUUUGAUACUGCUAGUCUUGAGUUCGAGAGAGGUGAGUGGAAUUCCGAGUGUAGAGGUGAAAUUCGUAGAUAUUCGGAGGAACACCAGUGGCGAAGGCGGCUCACUGGCUCGAUACUGACGCUGAGGUGCGAAAGUGUGGGGAGCAAACAGGAUUAGAUACCCUCGUAGUC